CCCGGAAGUGAGGCAGCAAGGUCAAUUCACUCCAUCCCGGCAAUUUGGAUACUCAACAAGACCCUGUUUUAACUUGAGCAAUUGAGAGAGGGCUGGGGCUGGGGCUCGGUGUGAAGACUCUUCAUUCCACGCCCAGAGCAAAGCAAGACAGAAACCAGAAACCGGGCCAGCCCAGCGUCCGCCCGCAGGCCCCUCCCUCCGUGGACGCAGCGCCCUCCCGGCAGCCUCUCCCUUCUGGGUCACUCCAGGUUCCAGCACUGGGUUGUUUGCGUAAGAAUCAGGAGCCGUACAAGCCCCUCUGUCAAGCUCCGGGCCUGUGGUUUUCGCCACGGCAACACAGAGCCAGGCUAGGGUGCCGCCCGCUGCUGCUGCCCGGCUCUGUCCGCAGUGGGCUGUCCUCCCUCCCUCUCAACUCUCAACCUUGCUGCGCUCCUCGGAGGCCGGCAGGCGGGCGAAGCCUGGCAUCUCUCACUCCAGUGUCGAGCUGUGGCUCCUUCAGUCCUUCUAUUCAGCCCACGGCAGCAUCGCCCUGCAGCCCCUUGAGAUCCCGACCCUUCAGACCCUGUGGGUCGUCCAGUGUGGCUGUGCAGACUGGACACACUUUCUCCGUAAAGCCCAGCGCCAUCCACGGCUCCUGGCUGUGAGCAGCUGCCACUUCAUUCCUUCCGUUUCUGCAGAGUCACGCUGUUCGCCUGCCACAGUGUUGCCCGUGUGCGCUGUCCUGGCCGAGACCCUUGACUGUCCCGCCCCUCGGGACACCUGUGGUCGCCGCCCCUCCUCCGUCCAGAGGCGGAGGAGACGUUUGGGGCGGCCCCCAGAGUCCCCUCCCCGCCCACCUCUCCCGCGUCCCCUCGACCUCCUCCUGGGGGCGCGGCGGGCUGAGGUGACAGCAAGUCCGCCUGCCCUCCGGGACCGCGACAGGAAGCGCUAGGCCGGCGCCGCGGGGACCCAAGGCCCAGCAAGCACGCGGGAGCAGGGCAGGACGCCUGCUCGGGGUGGCUGCUCCCUUCCCGCCGCCUGGGCCCCGCUCUGCCACGGGCACCGAACCGAGGAGGAGCCAGGUGGACACGGCGCGGCCUGGGCUGGCCUCCCGCAUGGCCCCGGGGGCUCCCACGGUCAGCUGCCUCGCAGGUGCAGACCUGCAUCCAGGCCCCUGGAGCUCGCAGUGGUCACCUCAGCAGGCCACCGCUGCCCUGGCUGCCAGCGUCCUGGGCUCAGGCCCUGUCUUGCUCUGUGGCGUCCACAGCUCCCUGCCUG
rnacentral:lncRNA from 1 species